GAUGAACGCUGGCGGCGUGCUUAAUACAUGCAAGUCGAGCGAACAGAUGAGGAUGUUGCUCCUCUCACGGUAGCGGGGGACGGGAGAGUAACACGAGGAUAACCUACCUAUAAGACUGGCAGACGUAAGGGAAACAGGAGCUCAGACCAGGUAAGACGUUCAACCGCAUGGUCCAAUGGAGAGAGACGGUGUUGGUGACCCUUAUAUACGAUUCCGUGCCGGAUUGGGUAGUGGGUAAGGUAACGGCUUACCAAGGCAAGGAUGCGUAGCCGCCCUGAGCGGGAGAUCGGCCACACUGGAACGGGGACACGGUCCAGACGCCAACGGGAGGCAGCAGUAGGGAAUCUUGCGCGAUGGGCGGAAGCAUGACGGAGAAACGCCGCGUGAGUGAUGAAGGUCUUCGGAUCGUAAGACUCUGUUAUUAGGGAAGAACAGAUGUGUAAGUAACUAUGCACGUCUUGACGGUACCUGAUGAGAAAGCCACGGCUAACUACGUG
rnacentral:rRNA from 1 species